UACAGAGGUGCCGAGCGUUAGGCGGAAUCACUGGGCUUAAAGCGUGUGUAGGCGGACUUCUAAGUGCCUUGUGAAAUCCCACGGCUCAACCGUGGAACUGCUGGGCAUACUGGGAGUCUUGAGCCAGCUAGGGGCUACCGGAACAAAUGGUGGAGCGGUGAAAUGCGUAGAUAUCGAGAGGAACACCUGCGGCGAAGGCGGGUUGCUGGGCUGACACUGACGCUGAUGCGCGAAAGCCAGGGGAGCGAACGGG
rnacentral:rRNA from 1 species